rnacentral:rRNA from 1 species
GCGAACAGGGUUCAGAACGUCGUGAGACAGUUCGGUCAUAGCUGGGUAGCUAUGUAGGAAAUUUGAGAGGAGCUGUCCUUAGUACGAGAGGACCGG